rnacentral:hammerhead_ribozyme from 1 species
GUACUGAUGAAGAGUCCCGAACAUUAGGACGAAACAGCUGUCCAGUAC